CGCACAAGCGGUGGAGCAUGUGGUUUAAUUCGAAGCAACGCGAAGAACCUUACCAGGUCUUGACAUCCUUUUGAAUGGUCUAGAGAUAGAUCAGGCCUUCGGGACAGAAGAGACAGGUGGUGCAUGGUUGUCGUCAGCUCGUGUCGUGAGAUGUUGGGUUAAGUCCCGCAACGAGCGCAACCCUUAUCAUUAGUUGCUAACAUUCAGUUGAGAACUCUAAUGAGACUGCCAGUGAUAAACUGGAGGAAGGUGGGGAUGACGUCAAAUCAUCAUGCCCCUUAUGACCUGGGCUACACACGUGCUACAAUGGCCGGUACAAAGAGUUGCGAAACUGUGAAGUUAAGCUAAUCUCAUAAAGCCGGUCUCAGUUCGGAUUGUAGUCUGCAACUCGACUACAUGAAGUCGGAAUCGCUAGUAAUCGCGAAUCAGAAUGUCGCGGUGAAUACGUUCUCGAGUCUU
rnacentral:rRNA from 1 species